rnacentral:rRNA from 1 species
AUGAAGUUGUUUCUUAUUGACUUGCUGAAAGAGCAUGAUGUUCCUGGUUUUCGAACACAAAAUGCAUGGAGCAAAGAGGCCUGGACAAACAUUGUUAAUCGACUAAAUCAAGCAUUUUGUGUAUCAUUUAGUGUUGUUCAAGUCAAACAAAAGGAGCAAGAUAUAAAGAAGGAAUAUCGAAGUGUGAAAGAAUUGUUGGCAGAAAGUGGGUUUGGAUGGGACAAGGAUAGAAUGAUGGUAGAAGCACCAGCAAGUGUUUGGGCUAGUUUUGUUGCUCGCAAGAAUAGUAAGGAGGCCCUCCAAUGGCGAGACAAGUCUUUUCCAUACUUUAAUGAUUUGGCUUCUCUCUACGAUGGUCAUUACGCCGAAGGAAGAUCUCGUCAUGGUAUGGAUUAUUAUGCUAACAAGGCAAAAAAUGCAUCUGCUCCAUCAUCGCACCCAACACAUUCGAAUGAUACAUAUGAAUCAUCUUCACCUCCAACAGUAGCUCUAGAUGAGCCAGGUUUGCAAUUUCCUUUGGAAGAAGAGCAUACAUCAACACCGAAUGAACAAAUGUAUACCCAAUCAAUACCCCCAAAAGCACCCACCGUGAAGCCUGAGAGUAGACGUAGAAAAAGACAGAAGCAAAAUCCUACAAGCUCUGCAGAUGGAUUCCAUGAAAGAUACCUUAGGCUCAAGAUGGAAGAAAUAAAUCGAUUUGCAGCCAUUGAGGAGAAGAAACUAGAGGAUCCAUUUAGCAUUCACAAGUGCAUCACAACGAUUGAAGGAUUAGAUGGUCUACAAUUGAGCGAUAUGUUGUUGGCAUCAGACAUCUUCAAAACUAGGGAAAACAGGGAGAUUUUCCUGUCUUUCUCUAGUGAUGAACGACGGUUGGCUUGGAUUAAAAGGGAGAUUGCUCGUACCAACGAAAACUAA